rnacentral:misc_RNA from 1 species
CAUAAGCGCACGGCAGGGCACACAUCCUCCUCUCACAGGAGACCUGGCAAGGGCCCCGGAGUGGCACCGUCGAGGAGAACGACAAAGGCGAGAAGCAGCCCCCCCCCUCCACUGCAUCCGUGUCUCUCGAACCUCCUCCUCACACAAAAUCAUGAUUAGCCUGGAUGCCUAUGCGCGGUACGUUUACCAGUACUCUUCGCCAACCACAACAGAGCAUCUGCGGCAGACCGUCUGGGGUCCACUUGGCCUCUGCUCUGGCGCGUCCUCCUCGCCCAAGUCCAUCUCUGGUGCGCAGCCAUGCUGGAGAGACGCAUCCGUGUCGCACGAGGUGCUGUACGCCGUCCCACCUAUCACGACGAACGUGCGGUGUGUCGGCAGCCGCAUCGAGGCUCACCUCACUGAUCUUCUUGAAGAGUUCCCGCUGUCGUCGCCGACGGUGACCCCCACCACCCCGGCUGCAGCGACUUUGGCCUCCCGCUUCGCACGGCCAUCACGUCUCGCCACCAUUGGUCUGCCGUUUUGCCUGUGUGUAAAGCCGCAGACAGAGCAUCUCACGCUGUGGCCGCUCCUCCGCACCUCGAGCACCGCCUCCUCUUCGCCGACAGGCACAUCAAACUCAGAAACGAGUCGUAAGCAGCCGAGUAGACCGCUCGUUCUCGUGGUAGAUGCGGGGGCGGCAGAGGCGGUACUGCGGGGCAGCGACCUUUAUGCACCGGGUAUCGUGACGGCCUCUCGCCCUUUCCACGCCGGAGAGCGCGCGGUUGUGGCCUUCUACGUGGAGCGCGUUGCAGACACGGGAGACGAGGCGCAGAACGGGAGUGCAGAGGCACCGCGUCGUCUUGUCUGCGCGCUGCCCACCGGAGCCACCCUCCCGGCCGAGCAGUUCGAACCCCUCGAUAUGGAUCUCGAUUACCAAGACAAACACCAGCAAGUGGGCGCGCUGGCAGGCCGCUCUACCUUUCUCGUGUGCAUCGGCAGUGGUGUGAUGUGCAUGGAGUGGAAAACCGUCAUGAGCCGAUCGACCCAUGGCACCGCGCUGCAGAUGGAGUGGACACCGCAAGGGCAGCCCUCUCGCGCCACCCUGCGUGCUCUGCUCGGAAUCAUGAAGGACACCGAAGACAGCCAUGCGCGCACCAGCACACCACUACCGCAACCACCAUCGCCAGGCGUAGAAGAGGGAGAAGAAAGGGCAGCAGAUGCGUUCUUCCUGCAAAACUACUCUAGCAUGGUUCCGGUGGCGCUCCUGGUCCAGCAUCUCUCGCCAGCCGCCCUCCGCCGUGCGUGGACGCACAGCGACGACGCGGACCAGGGCCGCUCGCCUGCACCGUGCACUAUCCUCGACGCGUGCGCCGCGCCGGGGGGCAAGACGAGUCUCUUGCUGUCGCUGCUGCAGGAGCGGGCCGAGCAGGAGAGGACGGCGAUGGCAGAGGCAGCGAUCCCUCUCCCAUCCGCCACAGAACCGUUUCGAGUGGUGUGCUGCGAGCGUAGCCGACCCCGCCAAGAGCAGCUAAUGCGCCUCCUUCACCGCCACUUCGCAUCCCACCUCGCUGCGCCGUCUGCGUCGCCCUCAUUGAACAGUACCUCGGCAGCCGAUGCUCCAUACGUGACGCGGGUGCUGGAGUCUCACUGCGUCGACACGAACAAGUUUCUCAAGCGCAAGCUCACCGAGGCAGCCGGAAGCAGUGACGGCAGCGCCGCGUCACACACGGACAGCUUCGAUGCAGUCUUACUAGACCCCCCGUGCACCGGCAUGGGUCUGCGGCCAAAGCUGAUGCCCCACGCGCAGUCCAUUGCCUCCAUCCAACGGUCAGCCGACUACCAGCGCAAACUGUUCGACUCCUGCAUCCGCCACAUCCGCGGCUCGCCGGCGUCGCCUGGCGUAAUUGUGUACAGCACCUGCACCACGACGCUGGAAGAGAACGAAGCGAACGUUUUGCACUUCCUCUGCACCUACCCCUCCGUGCGUCUCGCCCGUGCCAGGACGGCGGCCCAGCGUGCGCUGUGCGACCUCUCUGCCGUCCGCAGCUACGGUGCCCAGCACGGCACCGACGGGAGUCACGGCAGCGCUUUUCCCUGCUCUUGCCUCUUGCAAAAUGAGAUUACUGAAGUGCAACUGGCCAAGGAGCGGGCAGCUGCUGCAGAAGGGCUAUCGUCGGCGGAUCCGCUGCUGUUGCUGCGUUUUAUGCCUCGGCCACUCGACAUGUACGACGACAUAUCUGAAGACGGCGUGGGUUUUUUCGUCGCUGUGUUUCUCUGCAGCGGCUACACGGACGCGUAAGAACCUCAUCCUCCCACCAAUCCACCAAGCCUCUUCGGUGACUGGGAGCGGGAGGUGGGGCAAGGGACACGAGAGGGGAGGCGAGUGGGUGCGGGAACGGGCUUCAGUAUGUGCGCUGUGUGUGUGUUUGUGUGUGUGUGUGUGUGUGGUCUUAUGCGUUGCUGCUCUCUGGCAAAAACCCACCGUUCUUUACACGCCAUCAGAGAGCACCUCACGAGGUACUCGGUGAGAAGGGGGGGAGUCUCGCACAGCAGUACAGCUGGAUGUGCGCAGCCUCCACUCCCACCUUUCCGCUUCCUGUUGGGGGCGGGAAGCAGCGGAAAGCAAAGGUGGCAACUAGCAUGGCAGUGUGCCUCAGCUGCUGAAUAGCGUCCUUAUGGAUGCUGCCUGCCAGUAUUGCAGUAACCGGUAUUGGGGAUUCAGAUAAGGUUAGGGCAGGGAGAAGGUAGUGGUACACAGGCUGAUGGACGCAAUGGGCACCUCCUGCCUCGCCUCCUUACUCUCGUAUCGCACCCCCUCCCCUAACGACAUCAACCUCGUACGUACUUCCACCACUCCCACCUUCUCCGUUCUCCGUACACACACACACACACACACACAG